CAGCAGCCGCGGGAAUACGAAGGGUGCAAGCGUUAAUCGGAAUUACUGGGCGUAAAGCGCGCGUAGGUGGUUUGGUAAGAUGGAUGUGAAAUCCCCGGGCUCAACCUGGGAACUGCAUCCAUAACUGCCUGACUAGAGUACGGUAGAGGGUGGUGGAAUUUCCUGUGUAGCGGUGAAAUGCGUAGAUAUAGGAAGGAACACCAGUGGCGAAGGCGACCACCUGGACUGAUACUGACACUGAGGUGCGAAAGCGUGGGGAGCAAACAGGAUUAGAUACCCCUGUAGUCCCUGUCUCUUAUAC
rnacentral:rRNA from 1 species